rnacentral:rRNA from 1 species
AUUGAACGCUGGCGGAAUGCUUUACACAUGCAAGUCGAACGGCAGCACGGGUGCUUGCACCUGGUGGCGAGUGGCGAACGGGUGAGUAAUGCACCGGAACGUAUCCAAUAAUGGGGGAUAACGCACCGAAAGGUGUGCUAAUACCGCAUACGCCCUGAGGGGGAAAGCGGGGGAUCGUAAGACCUCGCGUUAAUGGAGCGGCCGAUGCCGGAUUAGCUAGUUGGUGAGGUAAAGGCUCACCAAGGCGUCGAUCCGUAGCUGGUCUGAGAGGACGACCAGCCACACUGGAACUGAGACACGGUCCAGACUCCUACGGGAGGCAGCAGUGGGGAAUUUUGGACAAUGGGCGCAAGCCUGAUCCAGCCAUUCCGCGUGAGUGAAGAAGGCCU